AAUAAGAUGCAGCAAAGUCCAGAAUCUGUGAAACCAUUUUAGCCCAAAUGAGUCUUUUGUGUCCUUUGUUCAUGGAGAAUGGGUGAAGCAAGGUGCACCUGUUUCAAUAGUAAUGCAGCCCCACUGAGGAAAGGAAUUUUUGAGUUGUGUCAUUAGAAGUCAUCAUUGCCUAUGUGAGAGAAGAGAGGAAGGAUAGGGCAAGAUGCAGUCACAUAACAGGAUCAUGGAAUUCUAAAAUUGGAAGAAAUAUGUUUCUAGUCACCUAGUAUAGCUUCCAAUCCAUAGGAUGAAUCCUCAUGGCUAAUGAAAGCCUGGAAGAGCAUUAGAACCACCAUGAGGCGGCUGCUGGGAUGCAAUGGUGUGGCGUGAUCUCGGCUCACUGCAACUAAUUUGGAGCAUCUUUCUAAGACUUUGCAUGUAAAUGUGACUGGAUGGCCAUCUGUCAGGAAAAGACUAGAAUAAUUGAAUUGGAAAAGCGAAAAAAAUAAAAGUGG
rnacentral:antisense_RNA from 1 species